rnacentral:rRNA from 1 species
GAUGAACGCUGGCGGCGUGCCUAAUACAUGCAAGUCGAGCGAACAGACGAGGAGCUUGCUCCUCUGACGUUAGCGGCGGACGGGUGAGUAACACGUGGAUAACCUACCUAUAAGACUGGGAUAACUUCGGGAAACCGGAGCUAAUACCGGAUAAUAUAUUGAACCGCAUGGUUCAAUAGUGAAAGACGGUUUUGCUGUCACUUAUAGAUGGAUCCGCGCCGCAUUAGCUAGUUGGUAAGGUAACGGCUUACCAAGGCAACGAUGCGUAGCCGACCUGAGAGGGUGAUCGGCCACACUGGAACUGAGACACGGUCCAGACUCCUACGGGAGGCAGCAGUAGGGAAUCUUCCGCAAUGGGCGAAAGCCUGACGGAGCAACGCCGCGUGAGUGAUGAAGGUCUUCGGAUCGUAAAACUCUGUUAUUAGGGAAGAACAAAUGUGUAAGUAACGAUGCACGUCUGGACGGUACCUAUCAGAAAGCCACGGCUAACUACGUG